rnacentral:rRNA from 1 species
GACGAACGCUGGCGGCGUGCUUAACACAUGCAAGUGGAGCGACGAACCAGGGCUUGCCCUGGGGCAGAGCCGCGAACGGGUGAGUAACACGUGGGUAACGUGCCCCGAUGACUGGGACAACCCGGGGAAACCCGGGCUAAUACCGGAUAUGCCCCCUCACAUCAGUGAGGUGUGUAAAGGAAGCUUCGGCCUCCGCAUCGGGAUCGGCCCGCGGCCCAUUAGCUUGUUGGUGGGGUAAUGGCUCACCAAGGCUUCUAUGGGUAGCUGGUCUGAGAGGACGAUCAGCCACACUGGGACUGAGACACGGCCCAGACUCCUACGGGAGGCUGCAGUCGAGGAUCUUCCGCAAUGGGCGCAAGCCUGACGGAGCGACGCCGCGUGGAGGAUGAAGGCC